CCCACAGCUUGCUGCUGUCAGUGCAGCCAGUGCCUGGAGAGGGGGAGGUAGGGCUGGGGAGCCUUCCUGCAGCAUCUGCACGAAAUCAGACUUAUUAUUAUUAAGGCCAUAGAACUCUGGAUGCAUUAAGUUAAUCAGCUUGUCCUGCACUGACAGAUUUCUUCAUUUCAUCUUUGAAAUGUGAUUCCUCAUUUCUGCUCCAAGAAGUCCAUUAUAAAGGUCUCCUACGGCUUUCUGCCAUCUCGUCUCUUUUGUGAAAGGAACAGCACUUGAGGACCACUGCUGAUGGCAGGCAUGACAGUGUGCAAGGAGGGGAUGUGUUAUUGCCCAGAGAGCUAGCGGGACCUAACGUGAUGUUAAUGGCCUUGGAGCAGUUUUUCUGAAGAGUGGACUCCUACAGAGCAGCAUAUUUGUGUAUGUACCUGCCUACCUACAUAGAAAAAUGAUACCAUUCUCAUGAAAAUGCCGCUGGACACUGUGGUCAGAUGCAUCUUCCCAAGAUCGAUAGAUGUGCACAUACGAGAGAGCAUCAUGCUGCCAGUCACUUGUACAUGGAACGCUUCGGAGCGCUUGCUUCAGCUCCAACUGGAUUAGGACCACUCAACAAGCAUGGGGUAGGGAGGAUCCUUGUGCUUUGAUUUUUUUUUCCCAGGCAGGAGAAGUGUUAAAUAUGCUUCAUUUUUUCCUCUCUCCCUCUUUUGGGAAACGCCUGACUGAAUUUGUUCCUUCUACUGUCUUCUUCCUACAUAUUCUUUGCUGACACUGAGUCCGAGGUGUACUGGCUGCUUAAAGAAGAUGGAAGGUAGGGAAAACAUUUUAUUUUUAUCCAACAUGUCGGAGGAAAGAUGCUGACAUUUUGGAGACGUCAAACUCUAAUGAGUAUGAUUGUUCUGCAAAUAAAAGACUGGAAGUGCUUUAUUAAAGAGACUAUCAGAUUGGGAAUUCAAAUGGAGAAAAAGGAAGAAUCACCAGCUAGACCCUUGGAGAAGUUUGACUGAAAACUCAGAGUUGAGGCUUUGUACACUUAUUGAACCCUAAGGGCAGAGUUUCUUAGAUCAUGAAGUCUCGCGCUGAUCAGAAAUGUGCUACACGUUCAUGGGAGCCAUCAGUGCAAACACAAAGGCAUAGCUAUAUCUGUGCUCCUUCCUUUACACCACCAGUUGUAGCCACUGGGGAAACUAACCUUUCAACGCCCUCAGAACAUUCCUUGACAGUGCUUUGGGAUGUAACUCCUGUACCUGUAAUCUCAGGGAUUCAUCCACCCUCCUCCCAGCAGUUGGCUAACCGCGAUGCGGCAUGUUUCACGUAGCUGCUCAGUGUCAUGAGGAUUCCUGAAAAGCCCGUUGUGGGGAAUAGAAUUAAAUGAUUUAGCCUCUUUUGAUAACAUUGUCCUCGUUUUUGAAGUGUAUUUCUACACUGAAGGCAUGACAGUGCCCAAGUGUUCUGGUACUCCAGGUCAAAUUUAAUCAGUCUGUAGGUACCCAACUGCAGUUGAUCUGAGGUGUGCAAGUGACAGGCAGAACUUACAACAUUUAUCAGUUUUAGCUGAAUUAAGAUACCAGAUAACCUAAAAUGUACUAGUUUGAUAUUUUAAAUCUUCCAAUUCGUCUCCUUAUUCCACUUAAAGCUGCUGUUUAAAAUACAAACCCCAUAAGCCACCAUUCAGCAGAAUGAAUACACAAGCUAUCCCUGGUUUUAUUUUACAUGCUUAAGGGGAGAUUUUCAAGAACAUGAAAGUUAGGCAGGCAAUCUUACCCCCCUGAAGGCAAAUUGGCCUUUCAGAAGAUCUUCCUUCAACACUGUGUGUUGUUUAUAUCAAGACUUGUUUACAGACAACAUCUCGUAUCCCACAAUAUUA